AUAUUUUCUGCUCAAUGUCAAACAUAUAAAUUGCCGCAGUAUAAUAACUGUGCUAAGGUAGCAUAAUCACUUGUCUAUUAAUUGUAGACUAGAAUAAAUGAAACAAUGAGAUUAUACCUGUAUCAAAAAAUAAACCAUAAACUUAUCAAAAGAGUGAAGAAGCCUUUGUCCACCUGUAAGACAAGAAGACCCUGCGGAGCUUUAAUUACCUAUACCGCAUAGCUUAAAUAUAAAAAAAAUUGACUGGGGCGGUCAGAAUAUACUAAAAACAACUCUAUGCUAAUCAAACUUACAAGUUUAUCAACACCUUAUGACCCAUAUUAUAUAUAUGAACACUGAAACCAAGCUACCCCAGGGAUAACAGACUAAUUUUCCCCUAAAGUUCAUAUUAAAGGAAAAGAUUAGCACCUCGAUGUUGGCUUAUAAAAAAAUUUGGAGAAAAAAUUAAAAUAAAA
rnacentral:rRNA from 1 species